AUUGAACGCUGGCGGCAGGCUUAACACAUGCAAGUCGAGCGGAGAUGAGGUGCUUGCACCUUAUCUUAGCGGCGGACGGGUGAGUAAUGCUUAGGAAUCUGCCUAUUAGUGGGGGACAACAUUCCGAAAGGAAUGCUAAUACCGCAUACGUCCUACGGGAGAAAGCAGGGGAUCUUCGGACCUUGCGCUAAUAGAUGAGCCUAAGUCGGAUUAGCUAGUUGGUGGGGUAAAAGCCUACCAAGGCGACGAUCUGUAGCGGGUCUGAGAGGAUGAUCCGCCACACUGGGACUGGAACACGGCCCAGACUCCUACGGGAGGGAGCAGUGGGGAAUAUUGGGGAAUGGGGGGAACCCUGAUCCAGCCAUGCCGCGUGUGUGAAGAAGGCCUUAUGGUUGUAAAGCACUUUUAGCGAGGAGGAGGCUACUUGGACUAAUACUCUUGGAUAGUGGACGUUACUCGCAGAAUAAGCACCGGCUAACUCUGUGCCAGCCGCCGCGGUAA
rnacentral:rRNA from 1 species